CGAUGACAGAUAAGAGAGAAUUUUCGUUGACACUUGUAAAGGUUGCGCCGAAGUUAAAACGGGUAUAUCGUAGGCAUAAACCCGCUGGAACGAAAUAAUAGAUAGAUGAAAUAAAAGCUAAUGCCCUCGACUACCACCCGAACCAUUGAAUAUGCAAAGAAAUACUGCUGAAUCUAAAAAAGCAUAACUAUAAUGGCUUUGUAGCAUUCACCAUCAUCAAAGAUGGAUAUUCCAUAUCGCACGGCACGCUAUAAAUAUGUAGUGUCUUCUCGAGAACCAUGUGCCAGUUAUUUGACUUUCAGAUGCCACAAUUUCUAUAGUUAAAUUCUAUACAAGUACAAUAUAAAGCGACGCGACCUCGAAGCUGGGAGAUAAAAGAACGCUCUUUUUCAGAUCUACUACAUAACAUUUUCAUUGCCGACCUUACUGUACAAACAUGUAUUAAAACCACUAAAGAGUUUCUCUCGCGCGAAGUACAAAAGUCGAAAACGCUAAUGUGAACAAUAAUUUCGCUUUUAGCAUCUUAAAAGAAAGCAAAAACGUUAGCGAUAAAUUACUACAACUGCACUUUCACAGACGAUUUCAUUUAAUGCCACCUUCGCAUUUUUUACGACAAGCUCCACGUGGUCGGCUCCGAGCACUGAUGCCAAACAAGACGGAAUAACUGCAACCUUCGAACCAAAGUAGAAAAAGGCAAGGUGUAAGUAAGACAACGCACUAAAAUAGAUGGAACAUGUCGAACUCUAGAAGAGAAAAACAACAAACACAACAACCUUAAAAGUCAGAAGUCCUGCUGCUGCUGCUGGCAGUCCAUUAGCCAAGAAGUCAGCGACGAACGAAUAGCACAGGCAAAAGUAACAUUUUAAUGUGCAACUAAAGGUAAUUGCAUGGAAAAUGUGAAAGGAGCAUAGUCAAUGCAUAAAUUGGUUGAAAGAGGUGAGAGUCAAAACCAAACAGUGUACAAUUAAAAGGUGCAGGCAAAA